GGGUGUGGGAGGGAAUCUUUUUGCCCAGAGGAGAAAUUGAUAUUCAUGCCAUCAGAUUGGAGGCUACUCAGAUGGAGUAUAAAGUGUUGCUCUUCCACCCUGAGGGUGGCAUCAUCGUGCAACAAGAGGAGGCCAUGGACUGACACGUUGGAAUGGGAAUCGAUAUCAGAAUGAAAAUGUUUGACCACACUUGACGUUGAGAGACCACACCACACGCUCAUCCCGAGGCGUUCUGCAGACGGAAGAUGUCCAAUGAAGACCACUGAGACUUCCCAUCCUCUGACACCACAUUACAUUCAGUUCCUCUGGAGUGUACACCCGGGAAUGACCUGCACCGGCAAUCGAGGCUGCCAUCAGCUGUUUGUCUGACCUCAGCAGCCGAAGCGGAAAGAGAGAGCGCUGCUGUCGAUUCUGCCUGCUUUGAUCAGGCCAUUAUGAAGGUAUCCCAGAUGAACUCCGAAAUGUGGGUCUGCUUCCAUCAGGUGUGGUCGGAUCUGAGGCAGCUGCUGGUGAUCUGCACUUAGGUUCUCUGCAAAGACAGUGUUACCGCUGAUCUCUCGCUCUGUCUGUCUGUUGAGGCGACAAGAAGAUGAGUAAUGUGAUUUAACCUGAAUCCAGUGUUUCCACUGACUGCUUUUGAAUAUGAAUUGCAGAUUGAAUUUAAAACACAGCUCAGAAUAAUUAGACCUCAGACACCUACACAUCCAUGAAUCUGGUCUACAGUCAGUGGAGAUUAACUUUCAUUUUGGGUGUCUGGAAUGUGGGUUAGGUGUGUGAAAACUACCUGUAAUUCAGAGGAAGCACUGUAGGUAUGUUGUAAUUAUAGAA